CACAUGCAGUCGAGCGGCAGCAAGCCUUCGGGCGUUGGCGAGCGGCGGACGGGUGAGGAAUACGCAGGAAUCUGCCUGGUAGAGGGGGAUAGCCCAGAGAAAUUUGGAGUAAUACCGCAUAUGCCCUGAGGGGGAAAGUGGGGGACCGUAAGGCCUCACGCUAUCAGAGGAGCCUGCGUCGGAUUAGCUAGUUGGUGGGGUAAAGGCUCACCAAGGCGACGAUCCGUAGCUGGUCUGAGAGGAUGAUCAGCCACACUGGGACUGAGACACGGCCCAGACUCCUACGGGAGGCAGCAGUGGGGAAUAUUGGACAAUGGGCGAAAGCCUGAUCCAGCCAUGCCGCGUGUGUGAAGAAGGCCUUCGGGUUGUAAAGCACUUUAAGUUGGGAGGAAAGCCUGUAUGUGAAUAAUGUGCAGGGUUGACGUUACCGACAGAAUAAGCACCGGCAAACUCCGUGCCAGCAGCCGCGGUAAUACGGAGGGUGCGAGCGUUAAUCGGAAUUACUGGGCGUAAAGCGCACGUAGGCGGUCAUGUAAGUGGGAUGUGAAAUCCCCGGGCUUAACCUGGGACUUGCAUCUCAGACUGCAUGACUAGAGUAUGGGAGAGGGAGGUGGAAUUUCCGGUGUAGCGGUGAAAUGCGUAGAGAUCGGAAGGAACAUCAGUGGCGAAGGCGGCCUCCUGGCCUAAUACUGACGCUGAGGUGCGAAAGCGUGGGGAUCAAACAGGAUUAGAUACCCUGGUAGUCCACGCUGUAAACGAUGAGAACUAGCCGUUGGAUUCCUUAGAGGAUUUAGUGGCGCAGCUAACGCGAUAAGUUCUCCGCCUGGGGAGUACGGCCGCAAGGUUAAAACUCAAAUGAAUUGACGGGGGCCCGCACAAGCGGUGGAGUAUGUGGUUUAAUUCGACG
rnacentral:rRNA from 1 species